ACUACAACAAAACUAUGUUUUAGCGGCGAUUAUUUUUUAAAUUAGCGGCAAUUACAAUUGCCGCUAAAAUGUUUUAUGACAAUUUUAACAAUUGCCGCUAUUGGCAGCGCUAAAAGUUUUAGCGGCAUUUAUUCCGGCGGUUGGUAAAAAUUCAAAUAAAUGCCGCUAAAUAUUAUACGAUAACGACUAUUAUAAAUGCUACUAAAUAGUAUGCAAUAACAACUAUUAUAAAUGCCGCUAAAUAAUAUACAAUAACAACUAUUAUAAAUGCCGCUACAAUUAAUUAUAAUUGCUGCAAAAAACAUACUAAAUGAUUGAUUAAUAAAGCUUAUAGCGGCAAUUAAAUUAAUAUUAAAAUACUUGAUUAACAACUAAAUACUACAAUGAAUUGAAAUAUUAAAAAAUAUUAGUAACCAAAAAGCAUUAAUAAUUUGUAUAACAAAUAGUCUCAACUCUCAAAUUACAAUCUCAGAAUUUAAAUUAAAUUUCAAACAUAAAUUCUAACAAAAAAUACUUCUUCAAAAUGUAGCAAAAAAAAAAAACAAACACCGCAUGUCUUGCUUCCCACUUCAAUUUCCGCAGCUCCGACUGAUCUGGAUCAACCAAAAAGAAGUCAUAAAAUUAGUAUCUGAAAUUACCAAAUAAAAAUCAUCAUAUCAAAUUUUUGAAAAGUAUA
rnacentral:lncRNA from 1 species